UACGUAGGGGGCAAGCGUUGUCCGGAAUCAUUGGGCGUAAAGAGCGUGUAGGCGGCCCGAUAAGUCCGCCGUGAAAGUCCAGGGCUCAACCCUGGAAUGCCGGUGGAAACUGUCGGGCUGGAGUCCGGAAGAGGCGAGUGGAAUUCCUGGUGUAGCGGUGAAAUGCGUAGAUAUCGGGAGGAACACCAGUGGCGAAGGCGACUACCUGGCCUGUUCUUGACGCUGAGGCGCGAAAGCUAGGGGAGCAAACGGG
rnacentral:rRNA from 1 species